rnacentral:rRNA from 1 species
UAGGGAAUAUUGGACAAUGGGCGCAAGCCUGAUCCAGCAAUGCCGCGUGCAGGAUGAAGGCCUUCGGGUUGUAAACUGCUUUUGUACGGAACGAAAAGACUCUCUCUAAUACAGGGGGUUGACGACGGUACCGUAAGAAUAAGGAUCGGCUAACUCCGUGCCAGCAGCCGCGGUAAUACGUAGGGUGCAAGCGUUAAUCGGAAUUACUGGGCGUAAAGCGUGCGCAGGCGGUCUUGUAAGACAGAUGUGAAAUCCCCGGGCUCAACCUGGGACCUGCAUUUGUGACUGCAAGGCUGGAGUACGGCAGAGGGGGAUGGAAUUCCGCGUGUAGCAGUGAAAUGCGUAGAUAUGCGGAGGAACACCGAUGGCGAAGGCAAUCCCCUGGGCCUGCACUGACGCUCAUGCACGAAAGCGGGGGGAGCAAACA